UUUUAGUAUUAGUCUCCGAGAUUUCUACAUGACAAAGGCUGUUAGGGAUGGUAUCCAGGAAAGAAUUCAGUGCAUGUCGAAGUUGCUACAUCAUUUGCGGUCAUCCUAUAAUGAAUCCGUAGAAGUACAAUUGGAGCAUCACUUGCGUAAUGAGAAACUUCCAGUUAUUGACUUUGUGCUCAAGUCGUCUGGCAUGGGUGUUCUAAUUGAUUCCAAGAGUGAAUCUGCCUUUAAUAAGGUGGUUCAGCAAAUUGGUUUCUUAGGCCUGCAAAUAUCAGACAGGGGCG
rnacentral:misc_RNA from 1 species